GUUUGAUCCUGGCUCAGGAUGAACGCUGACAGAAUGCUUAACACAUGCAAGUCUACUUGAACUUCGGUUUGGGUGGCGGACGGGUGAGUAACGCGUAAAGAACUUGCCUCACAGUUAGGGACAACAUUUGGAAACGAAUGCUAAUACCUGAUAUUAUGAUUUUAGGGCAUCCUAAGAUUAUGAAAGCUAUAUACGCUGUGAGAGAGCUUUGCGUCCCAUUAGCUAGUUGGAGAGGUAACGGCUCACCAAGGCGAUGAUGGGUAGCCGGCCUGAGAGGGUGAACGGCCACAAGGGGACUGAGACACGGCCCUUACUCCUACGGGAGGCAGCAGUGGGGAAUAUUGGACAAUGGACCAAAAGUCUGAUCCAGCAAUUCUGUGUGCACGAUGACGUUUUUCGGAAUGUAAAGUGCUUUCAGUUGGGAAGAAAAAAAUGACGGUACCAACAGAAGAAGUGACGGCUAAAUACGUGCCAGCAGCCGCGGUAAUACGUAUGUCACAAGCGUUAUCCGGAUUUAUUGGGCGUAAAGCGCGUCUAGGUGGUUAUGUAAGUCUGAUGUGAAAAUGCAGGGCUCAACUCUGUAUUGCGUUGGAAACUGCAUGACUAGAGUACUGGAGAGGUAAGCGGAACUACAAGUGUAGAGGUGAAAUUCGUAGAUAUUUGUAGGAAUGCCGAUGGGGAAGCCAGCUUACUGGACAGAUACUGACGCUAAAGCGCGAAAGCGUGGGUAGCAAACAGGAUUAGAUACCCUGGUAGUCCACGCCGUAAACGAUG
rnacentral:rRNA from 1 species